UACGAAGGGUGCAAACGUUGCUCGGAAUCAUUGGGCGUAAAGCGUGCGUAGGCGGUCCUCCAAGUCCGCUGUGAAAGCCCCGGGCUCAACCUGGGAAUGGCAGUGGAAACUAUGGGACUUGAAUCUGGCAGAGGGGGGUGGAAUGCCACGUGUAGCAGUGAAAUGCGUAGAGAUGUGGCGGAACACCGAUGGCGAAGGCAGCCCCCUGGGCUGAGAUUGACGCUCAGGCACGAAAGCGUGGGGAGCAAACAGG
rnacentral:rRNA from 1 species